rnacentral:rRNA from 1 species
GAUGAACGCUGGCGGCGUGCCUAAUACAUGCAAGUCGAGCGAACAGACGAGGAGCUUGCUCCUUCGACGUUAGCGGCGGACGGGUGAGUAACACGUAGGUAACCUACCUAUAAGACUGGGAUAACUUCGGGAAACCGGAGCUAAUACCGGAUAAUAUUUCGAACCGCAUGGUUCGAUAGUGAAAGAUGGCUUUGCUAUCACUUAUAGAUGGACCUGCGCCGUAUUAGCUAGUUGGUAAGGUAACGGCUUACCAAGGCAACGAUACGUAGCCGACCUGAGAGGGUGAUCGGCCACACUGGAACUGAGACACGGUCCAGACUCCUACGGGAGGCAGCAGUAGGGAAUCUUCCGCAAAGGGCGGAAGCCUGACGGAGCAACGCCGCGUGAGUGAUGAAGGUCUUCGGAUCGUAAAACUCUGUUAUUAGGGAAGAACAAACGUGUAAGUAACUGUGCACGUCUUGACGGUACCUAAUCAGAAAGCCACGGCUAACUACGUG